UAGUCCACACCGUAAACGAUGAGAGCUAGUUGUCUGCAGGCAUGCCUGUAGGUGCGCAGCUAACGCGAUAAGUUGUCCGCCUGGGGAGUACGGCCGCAAGGCUAAAACUCAAAUGAAUUGACGGGGGCCCGCACAAGCGGUGGAGCAUGUUGUUUAAUUCGAUGCAACGCGAAGAACCUUACCACCCCUUGACAUCCUCAGAACUUGUUAGAAAUAACUUGGUGCCUUCGGGAACUGAGUGACAGGUGCUGCAUGGCUGUCGUCAGCUCGUGUCGUGAGAUGUUGGGUUAAGUCCCGUAACGAGCGCAACCCUUGUCCUUAUUUGCCAGCGAGUAAUGUCGGGAACUCUAAGGAGACUGCCGGUGACAAACCGGAGGAAGGUGGGGAUGACGUCAAGUCAUCAUGGCCCUCACGGGGUGGGCUACAAACGUGCUACAAUGGUCGAUACAAAGGGCUGCAAACUCGCGAGAGUAAGCGAAUCCCAGAAAACCGAUCGUAGUCCGGAUAGG
rnacentral:rRNA from 1 species